rnacentral:pre_miRNA from 1 species
UUUACAAGACUCUGUGUAUGGAGUUGGAACGCUUGCGUACGUUUGGCGCUAGGGGCGCUGUUCCAACUGCAUACAAAUUUAAGUUA